ACAUAUACGUUUGUAUUCUGUUAGUGAGGCAGAUGGAAGCACAGAGAAGCUUAGCAUGGCCCCUUCACAAGGAUGACAUGCAACUUCAUGAAGCAUUCCAUAUUUUC